GUGCCGUCCACGCCUAAUCCGGCCUGCCCAGAGGCAGUUCGGAGCCGGGGACCCACGCGCACGACCUGGGGUGAAUCAGUCCGCAGUCCCGCGGACCGUAGGGCACCUUCCGUUCCGCCCGAACCCGACAGCUAACCCGGUAGGCGGUCCACGGAAGGAGAU
rnacentral:sRNA from 1 species